GAUAGGAUACUGGACUGGCAUUCAGAAAAGCUUGAUUCUAAUUCUCAGCUGCGCUGCUGGGUGUCCUCGGGCAAAUAAAGCAGUUUGCUGACCGAUUGAAGCAGGGAAAGCGCCAUCUUCCGGACAUAAUCCAGACAAGAUUUAGGGGCUGAAUGUUUGAUGUGCAUCCUGACAUUCCAAUGAAGAAUCCAUUUAGGGCCCAUUUUUGUGGGCCAGGACAGUGGAAUGAACUCCCCCAUGAACUAAAGACCAUCACAGACGUCACUACCUUCCACACCAAGUGCAAGAUGCACUUCUCUGAGCUUGUCUUCUCCAACAUAAACGCAGACCAACAUAUGUACUUAAGGAAAAAACAACCCCCCCUGCCAAAACAAGCCAUGCCACUGCACAUGCUUCUCUGCUCGGGGAGAGGAUGAGAGAACAAACAAGUGACUGAUGUUAGUCACGUUGCUUAAUACAUGACUGGAAAGUACUCUGAUACUAUGCAGUGUAAAAACCUGUCUCAGCUAGAACAGACUCUUAUCUUUGCGCCUGUGGCCGGAUCCUCAGCUGUGGUAAACUGGUGUAGCUCCAGUUUUGACAGGCCCUGGGUGGGCACAUAGGAGCUGCGUACAUUAUCUAUGGAGCAUGGGGAUAUACAACUUUCAGCUGCAGGGGUCACUUCAGCAUGCAAAGCUGAAGAAGAGCAGUGGAAAUCAGGACCCAACCCAUUAAUUCAGGACAGUCAACAA